AGUGAACGCUGGCGGCGUGCCUAACACAUGCAAGUCGAACGGGCUAGUGCUUCGCACUAGUCUCUUUCUGGGGUUGUUACUCUAAGGCUACCUGCUAAGGUUAUUGCUUUAAAGCAGGGGUUUUAGGAGACUUUCCCCGAAAGGGGCCAGUGCGGAGCACUGGCCAGUGGCGAACGGGUGAGUAACACGUGGGUAAUCUACCCUCGAGUGGGGAAUAAGCUUCCGAAAGGGGGUCUAAUGCCGCAUAACGUUUCAUAACGAUGGUUAUGAAACCAAAGCCCAAAAGGCGCUCGAGGAGGAGCCUGCGUCCUAUCAGCUUGUUGGCAGGGGUAAUGGCCUACCAAGGCUAUGACGGGUAGCCGGCCUGAGAGGGUGUCCGGCCACACUGGAACUGAGACACGGUCCAGACUCCUACGGGAGGCAGCAGUGGGGAAUUUUGCGCAAUGGGGGAAACCCUGACGCAGCGACGCCGCGUGGAGGAUGACGGCCUCGGGUUGUAACGUCCUGUCAGAAGGACGAAGUACCGCGAGGACG
rnacentral:rRNA from 1 species